rnacentral:rRNA from 1 species
UACGUAGGGGGCUAGCGUUAUCCGGAAUUACUGGGCGUAAAGGGUGCGUAGGUGGUUUCUUAAGUCAGAGGUGAAAGGCUACGGCUCAACCGUAGUAAGCCUUUGAAACUGGGAAACUUGAGUGCAGGAGAGGAGAGUGGAAUUCCUAGUGUAGCGGUGAAAUGCGUAGAUAUUAGGAGGAACACCAGUUGCGAAGGCGGCUCUCUGGACUGUAACUGACACUGAGGCACGAAAGCGUGGGGAGCAAACAGGAUUAGAUACCCGUGUAGUCCCUGAGCGGGCU